rnacentral:rRNA from 1 species
ACCAGCCACACUGGGACUGAGACACGGCCCAGACGUCCUACGGGAGGCAGCAGUGGGGAAUUUGGACAAUGGGCGCAAGCCUGAUCCAGCAAUGCCGCGUGAGUGAAGAAGGCCUCGGGUUGUAAAGCUCUUUCAGUUGAGAAGAAAAGAUUGUGACUAAUAAUUGCAAUUCAUGACGGUAUCAACAGAAGAAGCACCGGCUAACUACGUGCCAGCAGCCGCGGUAAUACGUAGGGUGCGAGCGUUAAUCGGAAUUACUGGGCGUAAAGGGUGCGCAGGCGGUUCUGUAAGUCAGAUGUGAAAUCCCCGGGCUUAACCUGGUAACUGCGUUUGAAACUACAGAGCUAGAGUGUGGCAGAGGGGGGUGGAAUUCCAUGUGUAGCAGUGAAAUGCGUAGAGAUAUGGAAGAACAUCGAUGGCGAAGGCAGCCCCCCUGGGUCAACACUGACGCUCAUGCACGAAAGCGUGGGGGAGCAA